UGGCGGACGGGUGAGUAAUGUCUGGGAAACUGCCCGAUGGAGGGGGAUAACUACUGAAAACGGUAGCUAAUACCGCAUAACGUCGCAAGACCAAAGAGGGGGACCUUCGGGCCUCUUGCCAUCGGAUGUGCCCAGAUGGGAUUAGCUAGUAGGUGGGGUAACGGCUCACCUAGGCGACGAUCCCUAGCUGGUCUGAGAGGAUGACCAGCCACACUGGAACUGAGACACGGUCCAG
rnacentral:rRNA from 1 species